UUCUGUUUAUUUCCAAUGUCCCACAUGAAGAAGUGAAGGAGAGGAACUGGAAAGCUAUGGCUUGCCUAAAAUGACCCACAUGAGAUGCAAACUGAAGUAAAAGAUCAGCGUUUUAGGCUGCAAUUUUAAAGACACAAACCUGUUCUGACAAGUUACACUGAACCAAAAUGAGAAUAGAGAGAAGCAUGCAGCAGAUGAAGCAGCCACCUUCAUAGGUCCAGCCAAAGGGACUUUUUACUAUCUUCAUUCCCUGCAAACUCCCAACUACCAUACAAAUCUGCUAUGGAGGGGGGGAUGAGAGGGAAACAAAUUACCUCCUUCCUUUUUAUGUCUGGAAACUGCUUCACUCAAACAAUGUUCAUGGGCAAGCCAAUGGAAUAAAAAUUAAGGAAGA